GAAUAUUUACCUUCUAGCUACUUCAUGGUUUGUCACUCAUCUUCAAGGCUGAAUCGGCAAGUCAGCAGGCCUGAGGGGCCUGAUCUAAGGCUGACCAGAUUCUUUAAGCACAUUACGCAGUACUGGGGUGGGGUGUAACCCAACACCCCAGACCCAGAAAGUGUGUCUGUUGGCUCUGAGAAGCUACACAGCUUGGAGCUACAGGCAAACAUCUGUGUUUUGGGCACCUCCCUGACCUACCUGGAGAGUGAGACACUGUUGUUCCAGGCGCUGAUAACAACUCUUGAACCAGAUACACAAGUUCCCAGCUUGAAGACUUACAGCCCAGCAGCUGAGACAGACAAUA